GACCUCCUACACCUGUGCCGCGGUGGCGCCGCCGCAUGCGCCCUAGGCCCGAGGGCUGCGCUGCUUUCGGAGCAUGCGUCCUAGAGCAGCAAUCGCAGCGAGGCGAGCUGAGCGGUGCCUGCGGGGCGCCUUCUCCUCUGUCGCCGCUGCGCUCUUCCCUGCCUCCCGGGUGUGAUGCUUAAUGAAGGGCAGGUUUGUGGUGCAGCCUGAGCACACCCCUGCCCUCACAGCUGCUGAACGUGAAUGGAAGUUUUGCCAGCUGAUGGGGGUCAACAGAAGGGCACAAACACCAACAGGAGGGGUGACUCUGCUCCAUUUGUUCUUCCUGGAAAUCCUACGUGUUCUUGCAUGCAGCUUCCAUCAUUCUUGACUGUAGACAGCUCUGUUGGAAUCACUCUAAAUGAAAACAACACAGAAGGAAACAGUGAAGAAUUACACAGAGCUCCGAGAUGUGCACAAGCCUCCUGGAACCUUUGUUAGGUGCCUCAAGACUGAUUUCUCUUACCAGUAGCCAAGAUGAAGAGUAUUUGCAGCAAAGAAAUGAGCUGAACUUACUCCUGUAACCAGUGAAUUCCAUGGUUUAGUAAUUCGUUCUCAGCAGAAUGGAAACCAGCAUGGGGAGAAUGAACAUCCCAGGCCAAAGUCUUGACUCCAGACACGUGGCUGACACAGCAGCCAUGAUUGAAGCAGGUGCUGACUCCACUCCAUGCCACCCUUCCCUGUUGCCUAAUUCCUCUCACACCUCCUGGCUGCAGGAGUUUUGGUGAAAACAGAAGGGUCUAGAGCACAAAUCUUGUGAGGAGGGGCUGAGGAACCUGGGCUUGUUUGGCCUGAAGAAAAGGAGGCUGAGGGGAGACCUCCUUUCUCUCUGCAACUCUCUGAAAGUAGCCUUCUCUUCUCCUAGGAAACAAGUGGGAGGAAACAGCCUCAGGUCACACCAAGGUUUAGGUUGGACAUUAGGAACUAUUUAUUCACUGAAAGAUUGGUUAAGCCAUGGAACAGGCUUCCCAGGGCAGUGGUGGAUUCUCUGUCCCUGCAGGAACUGAACAGCUGUGCAGAUGUGGUACUGAGGGACAUGGUUUAGUGUCACUGGCAGUGGACUCAAGGAUCUUGCAGGUCUUUUCCAACCAGAAUGACUCUUAUGAUUUACCAGCCAAUGCAGGGGAUGAGGCAUUAGGCAGAAAACAAUUUUGUCAAGCUUUGUAGCUUUCUACCUCAUGAAUUCCAAUGCAGAAUCCAGCUUCUUUCUGGUUUGUGUCUUUAUUAAUGCCUGCUGUUCUUCUAGCUCCUGCAGUUGAACUGGAAUAGUGUUUCAGAUAACCUUGUAUCAGCAAAGCCACGUUUCUGUCCGACACCUUUGUGUAUUUCAUGUAGAAACUACUAACAGAAAACUAUUCUGUAUUCCACA